GGAGAAGAUCUCUACUAUAAUACACAUCUUAGUUUUCAUGGUUAGUUUUCAUGUUGGCAUACAGUGUUUAUUGAAUAGCAUUUCAGUUGAGUCUUAUUGAAUCGCAUACAUUGUCCAUCAGAGGUGAUCGAAUAGCACUUGUCUUGCAUUGUUUAACAAUCUAAACUUGUCUUGCAUUGAAUCAAUGCAUGAAUAUCAUCAUAAGAACUUCCACCUUCUUCAACAGCUCUUUUUGCAUUCUCAAAAAUACUUUUAACCCGCCUUCUCAUUUCCUCUGUAUCUUCACUCUCCGCCAUCAACUUCUUCACUGCCAACUCCACCUUCUCUCUUCCAACCAACUCUUUCCUCUCUUCAUCCCAAGACCCCCACUCUCUACUACCAACUUGAACACCAAUCCUCAACACAUCAGUUAUCAACUUCUCAUUGAUAAAUUGCUCAGCUGAAAGUGGCCAAGUCGCCAUAGGUACUCCAGCACACACACCUUCUAAAGUUGAGUUCCAUCCACAAUGAGUCAUAAACCCUCCAACAGCCUCAUGCUCCAAAAUCAAAAGCUGAGGAGCCCAACCUCUAAAAAUCAAACCUUUAUCCAUUUCCUUCAUUCGCCUUUCAAAUUUAUCAAGAACCCAAUCUUCUUCAUUUUUAGAUGAGUUGAGAAUCUUCCCAACCACCCAAAUGAAUGAUUGAUCAGAAGCUUCUAAGCCAUAAGCAAUUUCCUUGAGCUGUUUCAUUGGUACGCGAGCUACGCUCCCAAAACUUAUGUAAAGAACUGAAUUGGGUUUCUUAGAAUUCAACCAAUUCAAACAACUUUGUUCAUCUAUAGUGGGUUGUUUCCCUCUUUCUUUCUUAUCUUCUACGCUUCUGUUGCAAAGAGAAACUGGUCCUACAAGCCAUGCUUUCUUUCCCAGUUUGUUUCUUACGUAAUCAGCAUAAGCUGGUUCCAAAUCAUAAAAACUAUUGAUAAGAGUACCAAGGCUAUUUUCCUCUAAUUGCUUUAUCCUAUCAGAAAACUGAGAUGGGUUUCUCAUGAAAAUUGGAGUCUGAGACCGUGUCAUCUCGAUUAUGUCAGGAAGGCCAGGAACAAUGAAAGGUUCUGAGUCUGAACUCAGAUUCUCUAACACAACAUGUUUUCUCGUAUUUUCAAUGACACAGCGCGGGAAACACCCGUUACCAUUGAAGACAAUUCUUGGAAUUUUGAGUUCAUCGAUGAUGUCGCCAGCCCAACGAUGAAACAUGUCAACAACUAUACCGUCCGGUCUGUGUUGGACUAGGAACUGUUUCAGAGGUUCAAGGAGAAUCGAGGUAUCGAUCAUGGGACCAGCAGACAUGUCGGUGUCAGUUACUUCAGUGUUUUCAGGGGUGGUGAGAAUCUGAAUGGUGAUGGGAUGAUUGGAUUUUUGGUCUCUGGUGAUUGAAUUUUGGAAUUGAAGAGCGUUAGAUGGUGUAGUUAUGAUGGUUGAUGUGGCUCCAUGUUUUGCAAACACUCUUGCUGUGUCUACCAUUGGAAUCUGAUGUCCUCCACCUACGAAGGGGAAGAAGUAUAUUUUAACUGCAUCAGUUUCAUGGUUCAUGUUGAAAUGGAGAUGAUGAUGCUCACAACUCACUUGACUUGCUUAGUGAAAAACUGUGAGUUAUGAGGAAGAUGCAGGUCCAAUUAUGUUGAAGAUGGAAGAGUUGUGUUAUAGAAUCAUUUUUUGUACGGCCAAUCAGAAAAGUUUGACAUGAAAACGUCAUGAAUGACAGACAUAUUACAACCUUGAGACAUCUCACAUGUUGACGGAGUCUCUAGGUAUGGAUAGAAGAAAAAUGAACCUAUAGGACCACUUGGUGCAUGUUUGAAUCAGCUGUGACUUCAGCAAAUGAUUUGGUCAAACUCACUUUCGGUACAUGCAUAUGUCAUGCAAGAGUGCAUUGCUUAUUUUGUUAGAUGUUUUUGAAUGUACGCCAAAACUAAUUUAUAGAAAUUUGUAUAGGUUGCAUUGUUUUAAACUUUGCAUUCAAACACUAGUGUUGGUUUUUGAAAUGUACAUGUUUUUUCUUGUUUCAUUUCUUC
rnacentral:lncRNA from 1 species